rnacentral:rRNA from 1 species
AUUGAACGCUGGCGGCAUGCUUUACACAUGCAAGUCGAGUGGCAGCGCGGGGGCAACCCUGGCGGCGAGCGGCGGACGGGUGAGUAAUGCAUCGGAACGUAUCCCGUAGUGGGGGACAACCCAGCGAAAGCUGGGCUAAUACCGCAUAUGCUCUACGGAGGAAAGUGGGGGACCGCAAGGCCUCACGCUAUGGGAGCGGCCGAUGUCCGAUUAGGUCGUUGGUGGGGUAAUGGCUUACCAAGGCGACGAUCGGUAGCUGGUCUGAGAGGGUGAUCAGACACACUGGGACUGGGACACGGCCCAGACUCCUACGGGAGGCAGCAGUGGGGAAGUUUGGACAAUGGGGGCAACCCUGAUCCAGCCAUGCCGCGUGCGGGAAGAAGGCCUUCGGGUUGUAAACCGCUUUUGUUCGGGAAGAAAAGGCCGAGGUUAAUACCCUUGGUUCUUGACGGUACCGGGAGAAUAAGCACCGGCUAACUACGUGCCAGCCGCCGCCGUAA